GACGAACGCUGGCGGCGUGCCUAAUACAUGCAAGUCGCGCGAAUGACGAGAAGCUUGCUUCUCUGAUUUAGCGGCGGACGGGUGAGUAACACGUGGGCAACCUGCCCUACAGAUCGGGAUAACUCAGGGAAACCUGGGCUAAUACCGGAUCAUCCUUCGAAUCACAUGUUUUGAAGUUGAAAGGCGCUUCGGCGUCACUGUAGGAUGGGCCAGGGGUGCAUUAGCUAGUUGGUGGGGUAACGGCCUACCAAGGCAACGAGGCAUCGCCGACCUGAGAGGGUGAUCGGCCACAUUGGGACUGAGACACGGCCCAAACUCCUACGGGAGGCAGCAGUAGGGAAUCUUCCACAAUGGACGAAAGUCUGAUGGAGCAACGCCGCGUGAGUGAUGAAGGUUUUCGGAUCGUAAAACUCUGUUGUAAGGGAAGAACAAGUACGUUAGGAAAUGAACGUACCUUGACGGUACCUUAUUAGAAAGCCACGGCUAACUACGUGCCAGCAGCCGCAGUAA
rnacentral:rRNA from 1 species